rnacentral:rRNA from 1 species
AACGCUGGCGGCGUGCUUAACACAUGCAAGUCGAACGGUGAAGGGACUGGUUUUGCUGGUCCUGGAUGAGUGGCGAACGGGUGAGUAACACGUGAGUAACCUGCCCCCUUCUUCUGGAUAACCGCAUGAAAGUGUGGCUAAUACGGGAUAUUCUGGGUCUGUCGCAUGGUGGGCCUGGGAAAGAUUGCGCCUUUUUUGGUGUUUUUGGUGGGGGAUGGGCUCGCGGCCUAUCAGCUUGUUGGUGGGGUGAUGGCCUACCAAGGCGGUGACGGGUAGCCGGCCUGAGAGGGUGGACGGUCACACUGGGACUGAGACACGGCCCAGACUCCUACGGGAGGCAGCAGUGGGGAAUAUUGCACAAUGGGCGCAAGCCUGAUGCAGCGACGCCGCGUGAGGGAUGGAGGCCUUCGGGUUGUGAACCUCUUUCGCCAGUGAAGCAGGCCUGCCUCGUUUCUGGGUGGG